rnacentral:rRNA from 1 species
CCUACGGGUGGCAGCAGUGAGGAAUAUUGGUCAAUGGUCGGGAGACUGAACCAGCCAAGCCGCGUGAGGGAUGAAGGUACAGAGUAUCGUAAACCUCUUUUGUCAGGGAACAAAGGCGGGGACGUGUCCCCGGAUGAGUGUACCUGAAGAAAAAGCAUCGGCUAACUCCGUGCCCGCAGCCGCGGUAAUACGGAGGAUGCGAGCGUUAUCCGGAUUUAUUGGGUUAAAAGGGUGCGCAGGCGGUCUGUUAAGUCAGCGGUCAAAGCCCGGGGCUCAACCCCGGCCCGCCGUUGAAACUGGCAGUCGCGAGUUGGAGAGAAGUAUGCGGAAUGCGCGGUGUAGCGGUGAAAUGCAUAGAUAUCGCGCAGAACUCCGAUUGCGAAGGCAGCAUGUCGGCUCCACACUGACGCUGAGGCACGAAAGCGUGGGUAUCGAACAGGAUUAGAUACCCUUGUAGUC